AUGGCUUCGAUCGUGCUGCUGCUGUCGGAGCUGCUCGGCGGCGCGGGGAGCACCAGCAUGCUGGAGGCCAACUGCUACAUGGGCGGCCACAGCCUGCGGGAAUUCCGGCCCGCGGCGGCCACGGGCGAGCGGGCGCCCACGGAGCCGAAGCUGCGGGGAACAACCUCAACGGCGGCGAAGGAUGAGGAGCCGUCGUCGUUGGACCUGGAGGAUCUCUCCGCCGUGUCCAGGAUAUCGGUGGACGUGAUGUGGCCCUGA
rnacentral:rRNA from 1 species